GUUGCUUCACAACUGGAAGAAUGGCCUGAGGAUAACAAUUUGGUCAUCCUGUAGAGGGAAGCAUAGAUGAAUGGAAAUACCAGCCAGCAUUAAACAGCACGAUGCAUAAUCUCACGGCGUCGUGUUACCUGUCUUCUGGCACGUUU
rfam:Brachypodium distachyon strain Bd21 chromosome 3, whole genome shotgun sequence.